rnacentral:RNase_P_RNA from 1 species
GUUUUCGGAUAAUCGCGCGAUUCUUUGUGAAUCGUGAGGAAAGUCCAUGCUCGCGCGUUGCUGAGAUGCACGCAGUGAUUGUGCUAGGUCAAACAAUAAACCUAGGUAGGAGCGUCAUGCCUAACGGCUGGCCAAAACGCUAAGUCUUUUGAUAUGCGUGAGUAGCCUGUAAAAG